AACGAACGCUGGCGGCAUGCCUAACACAUGCAAGUCGAACGAGACCUUCGGGUCUAGUGGCGCACGGGUGCGUAACGCGUGGGAACCUGCCCUUAGGUUCGGAAUAACUCCCCGAAAGGGGUGCUAAUACCGGAUAAUGUCUUCGGACCAAAGAUUUAUCGCCUUUGGAUGGGCCCGCGUUGGAUUAGCUAGUUGGUAGGGUAAAAGCCUACCAAGGCGACGAUCCAUAGCUGGUCUGAGAGGAUGAUCAGCCACACUGGGACUGAGACACGGCCCAGACUCCUGCGGGAAGCAGCAGUGGGGAAUAUUGGACAAUGGGCGAAAGCCUGAUCCAGCAAUGCCGCGUGAGUGAUGAAGGCCUUAGGGUUGUAAAGCUCUUUUACCCGGGAUGAUAAUGACAGUACCGGGAGAAUAAGCUCCGGCUAACUCCGUG
rnacentral:rRNA from 1 species